AUUGAACGCUGGCGGCAGGCCUAACACAUGCAAGUCGAGCGGCCGGCGGCCGGGUGAGUAAUGUAUGUGGACUGCCCGAAGGAGGUGGCGAACUACUGGAAACGGUGACUAAUACUGCAUACAGUCGGAUAACCCAGAUUGGAUUAGCUAGUAGGUAAGGGACUGGCUUACCUAGAGGACCAGCCCUAGCUGGUCUGAGAGGACGAUCAGCCACACUGGGACUGAGACACGGCCCAGACUCCUACGGAGGGAGCAGUGGGGAAUAUUGCACAAUGGGCGCAAGCCUGAUGCAGCCAGGCCGCGUGUAUGAAGAAGGCCGUAGGGUUGUAAAGUACUUUCAGUCGGGAGGCGUUACCGACAGAAGAAGCACCGGCUAACUCCGUGCCAGCAGCCGCGGUAAUAC
rnacentral:rRNA from 1 species